rnacentral:lncRNA from 1 species
CACGAGCUCCUCCAGUGUGACGAGAUGAUAUAGGAAAUAGCUAGCAAAGUUGAAGUCGAUAGUAGUACGUAGAUUAGUAAGUAGCUAGUAACAGUGAUAGGUCUUGCUAUUCAAGUGGCUCUUCCUUGCUACUAGUAAAUUUGUUAUGCAGGCCGUAGAAAUAAUACUGCUAGAGAGCAGUAAAAGAUUAUUUUAUAUAUCGGUGUUAUGAUAAGGCAAGCAGUCUACAUGUUAUUAUCCUUUAUUUAUUUUCUGUACUGACUAACAAGGCAACUACUAACGUGGUAACCUUGAGCUAACUUUUACUUUUAAAGCCA